CUACGGGGCGCACCAGGCGCGAAACCUUUACAAUGCACGAAAGUGUGAUAAGGGAAUCCAGAGUGCUCAAGUUUACUUGGGCUUUUGCCAAGAGUAAAUAUCUUGGAGAAUAAGUGGUGGGAAAGACUGGUGCCAGCCGCCGCGGUAACACCAGCGCCACAAGUGGGGAUCCUUUUUAUUUGGCCUAAAGCGUCCGUAGCUGGUUUAGUAAAUCUCUUGUGAAAUCGUUAUGCUUAACGUAACGGCGUGCAGGAGAGACUGCUAAGCUAGGGACUGGGAGGAGUAAGAGGUAUGCUGGGGGGAGCGGUAACAUGCAAUAAUCCCCAGUAGACCACCUAUGGCGAAGGCAUCUUACUAGAACAGGUCCGUCAGUGAGGGACGAAAGCCAGGGGAGCAAACCGGAUUAGAUACCCGGGUAGUC
rnacentral:rRNA from 1 species